UACGAAGGGGGCUAGCGUUGCUCGGAAUCACUGGGCGUAAAGCGCACGUAGGCGGAUUGCUAAGUCAGGGGUGAAAUCCUGGAGCUCAACUCCAGAACUGCCUUUGAUACUGGCGAUCUCGAGUCCGGGAGAGGUGAGUGGAACUGCGAGUGUAGAGGUGAAAUUCGUAGAUAUUCGCAAGAACACCAGUGGCGAAGGCGGCUCACUGGCCCGGUACUGACGCUGAGGUGCGAAAGCUAGGGUAGCAAACGGG
rnacentral:rRNA from 1 species